rfam:TPA: Bos taurus chromosome 10, whole genome shotgun sequence.
UCCCUGAUAGCUUAGAUGGUAAAGAAUCUGCCUGCAAUGCAGGAGACCUGGGUUCAGUGCCUGGGUUGGGAA